GUUGUACAUGAAUUGCAUCGUAUCCAGAAUACACUUCCAAAUAUUGAGAUAUAACACCAAGCUUGCAUUUGGGAUUUCAAAUAAACUACACCUAGGAUAUGGUGUAUGUCAUCAUUGAAUAUUUGUUAGUUUGCCACACAUAAUUGUUAUUUUGCUUAAUAUCGUGUUGACACGAGUAUACGAGUUUGUGCUUAAUUACAAAGGAUAUAUAUUAUAUUGUCUAGUAUU
rnacentral:lncRNA from 1 species